rnacentral:rRNA from 1 species
GCUACGGCAGGCUUAACACAUGCAAGUCGAGGGGUAACAGAGAAAAGCUUGCUUUUUUGCUGACGACCGGCGCACGGGUGCGUAACGCGUAUGCAAUCUACCUUUUGCUAAGGGAUAGCCCAGAGAAAUUUGGAUUAAUACCUUAUAGUAUGAUGACUUGGCAUCAAGAUAUCAUUAAAGGUUACGGCAAAAGAUGAGCAUGCGUUCUAUUAGCUAGUUGGUAUGGUAACGGCAUACCAAGGCAACGAUAGAUAGGGGUCCUGAGAGGGAGAUCCCCCACACUGGUACUGAGACACGGACCAGACUCCUACGGGAGGCAGCAGUGAGGAAUAUUGGACAAUGGAGGCAACUCUGAUCCAGCCAUGCCGCGUGCAGGAAGACUGCCCUAUGGGUUGUAAACUGCUUUUAUACAGGAAGAAACACCUCUACGUGUAGAGAUUUGACGGUACUGUAAGAAUAAGGAUCGGCUAACUCCGUGCCAGCAGCCGCGGUAAUACGGAGGAUCCAAGCGUUAUCCGGAAUCAUUGGGUUUAAAGGGUCCGUAGGUGGAUAAUUAAGUCAGAGGUGAAAUC